rnacentral:rRNA from 1 species
UACGAAGGGUGCAAGCGUUACUCGGAAUUACUGGGCGUAAAGCGUGCGUAGGUGGUUUGUUAAGUCUGAUGUGAAAGCCCUGGGCUCAACCUGGGAAUUGCAUUGGAUACUGGCUCGCUAGAGUGCGGUAGAGGAGAGUGGAAUUCCCGGUGUAGCAGUGAAAUGCGUAGAGAUCGGGAGGAACAUCAGUUGCGAAGGCGGCUCUCUGGACCAGCACUGACACUGAGGCACGAAAGCGUGGGGAGCAAACAGGGA